GCAGUAGAGGUAAACCGAAGGAAGCAUCACCGGAUUCUUGAACGGAUUUCUAAAUCGGUUGUUUUGCACAAAUCAGCAGGUUUGGAGUUCAAGUUGAGAACACAGCAGCAAGCAGUUUCUGUUUAAUCUGUCAUAACAGACUUGCAGGUUUAAAGCAUUGCAGCAGGUCUUAAAGCAGAACAGCAACAGGUUUUGAUAGCUUAAAAGGUGACUGUGUAAGCAGCAACAGGUUUGUUCAUUGUGUUGUUUUGUAACAGCAGCARCAUUAACAGUUGAAAGAARCAGUAGUAAUAACAUUUGGUUUUAGUUUUGUUUUGACACAGCCAGUUCUAUAGAAGCAUAUUUGAAACAACAGCAAAUCUGAAACAGUUUGUAACAGCAACAGGACAUAACAGCAGCAGCUAUAGCAAUACCAACAAACUUGAUUUCGUGGUUUUUGUUUUAAGAAUGUGCUGUGUUUAUUGUGUUUGACUGCAGCUUGAUUUGUUUAACAGCAAGCUGAAGCUUAAAACAGAAACAGAAGCUGUGUUUGGUGUUUGAUUGGUGUUGGGAGUGGGAGUAAACAGCARAUUUUGCUUGUAAAGUCAUACAGCAGGUCAAACAGUAAGUAGCAGACARCAACUAAACUGUAACAGCAGUGAACAAGUUGCUGGAUGAACUCAACAGGUUUAACAAUCAUCAACAAACAGUAAUUUGAAACAAUGCRGCAACAAGAUUCAUAGCUACGUUGUGGUGUCGAAAAGAAACAAAACAGUAGCYCAUAACAGCAGCUCAAGUUUUUUUAAAAAAAAACAAGUGUUGUGUUGUGUAUUGUGUUUGAAGCAGUUAUGUAUUGAGCUCAAGUGCAAGUGAUAGAAUGUGCAAGUGACAGCAGCUCAAGUGCAAGUGACAGACGUUUUACAGCAGCUAGUUUUAUAUUGUUUGUUUCAUGCAUUGGAAGUAGUGUGCAGCAACAACAAGUUGUGUUCUUAACAGCAGUCCAACACAGCAGCCGCACAACAGCAAGUGUUAGGCAAGCAGCAGCAGGUUUGAGCAGUUAACAGCAGGUCUUGCUGUUGUGUAUGGAAAGAAGACAGCAACAAUCGGACAUAGACAGCAACCAUUAUUUGACAGUAGCUGUUCAUAAACUCAAGUGCAGACUGGAAUAGAAGCUGUUUGUG